rnacentral:tRNA from 1 species
CGUCGGAUGGAGCAGUCUGGUAGCUCGUCGGGCUCAUAACCCGAAGGUCGUCGGUUCAAAUCCGGCUCCCGCAACCA